GGACGAACGCUGGCGGCGUGCCUAAUACAUGCAAGUCGAACGAGCUCUCCUAAAUUGAUUUUAUGCUUGCAUAAAUGAUUUUUAGAUUCGGAGCGAGUGGCGAACUGGUGAGUAACACGUGGGUAACCUGCCCCGAAGCGGAGGAUAACAUUUGGAAACAAAUGCUAAUACCGCAUAAUUAGUUGGAACCGCAUGGUUCCAACUUGAAAGAUGGCUCUGCUAUCACUUUGGGAUGGACCCGCGCCGUAUUAGUUAGUUGGUGAGAUAAAAGCCCACCAAGACGAUGAUACGUAGCCGACCUGAGAGGGUAAUCGGCCACAUUGGGACUGAGACACGGCCCAGACUCCUACGGGAGGCAGCAGUAGGGAAUCUUCCACAAUGGACGAAAGUCUGAUGGAGCAACGCCGCGUGAGUGAUGAAGGUUUUCGGAUCGUAAAACUCUGUUGUUAAAGAAGAACAAGUGUUAGAGUAACUGUUAACACUUUGACGGUAUUUAACCAGAAAGCCACGGCUAACUACGUGCCAGCAGCCGCGGUAAUACGUAGGUGGCAAGCGUUGUCCGGAUUUAUUGGGCGUAAAGCGAGCGCAGGCGGUUUUGUAAGCCUGCUGUGAAAGCCCUCAGCUCAACUGAGGAAGUGCAGUGGAAACUACAAAACUUGAGUACAGAAGAGGAAAGUGGAACUCCAUGUGUAGCGGUGAAAUGCGUAGAUAUAUGGAAGAACACCAGUGGCGAAGGCGGCUUUCUGGUCUGUUACUGACGCUGAGGCUCGAAAGCAUGGGUAGCGAACAGGAUUAGAUACCCUGGUAGUCCAUGCCGUAAACGAUGAAUACUAGGUGUUGGAGGGUUCCGCCCUUCAGUGCCGCAGCUAACGCAUUAAGUAUUCCGCCUGGGGAGUACGACCGCAAGGUUGAAACUCAAAGGAAUUGACGGGGGCCCGCACAAGUGGUGGAGCAUGUGGUUUAAUUCGAUGCUACGCGAAGAACCUUACCAGCUCUUGACAUCUUCUGCCAACCCAAGAGAUUGGGCGUUCCCUUCGGGGACAGAAUGACAGGUGGUGCAUGGUUGUCGUCAGCUCGUGUCGUGAGAUGUUGGGUUAAGUCCCGCAACGAGCGCAACCCUUAUUAUUAGUUGCCAGCAUUUAGUUGGGCACUCUAGUGAGACUGCCGGUGAUAAACCGGAGGAAGGUGGGGACGACGUCAAAUCAUCAUGCCCCUUAUGAGCUGGGCUACACACGUGCUACAAUGGAUGGUACAACGAGUCGCGAAACCGCGAGGUCAAGCUAAUCUCUUAAAGCCAUUCUCAGUUCGGAUUGCAGGCUGCAACUCGCCUGCAUGAAGUUGGAAUCACUAGUAAUCGUGGAUCAGCAUGCCACGGUGAAUACGUUCCCGGGCCUUGUACACACCGC
rnacentral:rRNA from 1 species